rnacentral:rRNA from 1 species
AUGAACGCUGGCGGCGCGCCUAACACAUGCAAGUCGAACGGGAACACCCGUAGCAAUAUGGGUGUUUUAGUGGCGGACGGGUGAGUAACGCGUGAGGAACCUGCCUUUCGGAGGGGAAUAACACAUCGAAAGAUGUGCUAAUACCGCAUAAUGUAUUCGGAUGGCAUCAUUUGGAUACCAAAGAUUUAUCGCUGAAGGAUGGGCUCACGUCUGAUUAGCUAGUUGGUGAGGUAAUGGCUCACCAAGGCUUCGAUCAGUAGCCGGACUGAGAGGUUGGCCGGCCACAUUGGGACUGAGACACGGUCCAGACUCCUACGGGAGGCAGCAGUGAGGAAUCUUGCGCAAUGGGGGAAACCCUGACGCAGCAACGCCGCGUGAGUGAGGAAGGCCUUCGGGUCGUAAAGCUCUGUCAGAUGGGAAGAAAUGGAUGGGGGCUAAUAUCGCCCAUCCUUGACGGUACCAUCAGAGGAAGCACCGGCUAACUCCGUG